GAGCCGGAGGGGCUGCACUGCACCGAGCUUGCACAGGGCGAGGCGGGGGCAGGACCUGGGACCCAGCCACCCCGGAGGAAACCGGAGAGGAAACCAGCUUGGUCUUGCUCUCUGCCUCGUCCCAAUCCCCGGCUCUUACCAAAUGCAGAUCCGUUGGCUGAAUGCCUUUUAGUCUGCAUACAUGCAUCUCAUACCGCACAGCCCAAAUUUCUACAACUUGUCCAGGUGCAGUCUCCUCAGAACUACAAAGCAAGAAAAGAUCACCUUUGGGCUCAGGAACUCACAGUCGUUCUCCCUCUCCCGGAAGGCACAAUGACCAGGACAGUACCGAGCUUUACAGCCAUAUUGAACUCACCAUCAACUCAGCACAUUCAACUCAAUCAGUCAAAAUCGUCUUUUCCUGCUGGUAAAUAACACUGAAAUUGUGGGAAGAUGGGAUGGUAAGAACAAAGUCUGUCUCUGGAAGCACGGGCGCUGUCUCUGAAGACAAAUUGAUCGUAACACAAGCAGACCCGGUGGAACGACCUCCAUGCUGAACCCUCAGCUCCCCCUGCAUUUGGACCAUGGCCUGAUGGAAGAUAAAGAGACUGAUCUCAGAGUGGUACAGAUCUACAACCACGUGAAGAAUUGGAUUUAUAUUCAUCUGACUCCAGAAAGUUCCUGAGAUUCCUCUGCUUCAUCAUCUUUCCCAUGCCCUUUAAAACACGUUAUCAAAUAGCAACAGGUGGUGCAAUAACUAGACAAAUGAUUCUCAGCCUUUUUCUUUGCCAUUAGCACUCCCGGAAGGAGACGUGUUGGACACUUUUCCUUGUCACCACCCCAUGAACCUUCCAUACCACAGGUAUACUGUGUAUUCGGUUAUGUAUCAUCUGUACAUCUGUUUCUAAAACACAGAAACAGUAAGAGCCCCCCAUCCAAGAAUCCAUUUUAAUCCUCUUGGGUGUGAUGUCACCCCCCAAAAAUGCAUAUGCUCUGGAGUCAGUCACAAACACAUUACGAAUGCAUGAUCACUUAAGAAUGUUACCAAAGUUUAUAAAUUUGAGAUGAUAAUUCUAUGUUAUUUAGUUCAUUUUAGAGAUAAGUAAGAACCAGAGAUUCCAGAGAGGUAGACCAAGCUGACAGAGCAAGGAAAGGCAGAGCCAGACAUGCAGCUGAAGCAUCUGAAUUCCCACUCUAGUGCUCCAGCUUAACCUGGAUGAUCAGUAAAUGGUUGCUUUUCAAUGUGCUCUCAACACUUCCCACACUGCCUCCUUCAUUAAUAAAGGAAUGGUAUUUUGGGAGAAACCAGAAUCUGCCCUGGGGCAAUAGAAAGGCAGCAAAGCAACCUGCAUUCAAGUCUUUGGGGGAUUUUUUGGAAAGCAGAGUGUAUUAGUCUGCUAUUGCUGCUGUAACAAAUUACCAUAAAUUUAGUGGCUUAAAACAACACACAUUUGUUGUCUUAAAGUUCUGGAGGUCAGAGCCCAAAAUGGGUCUCAUGGAGCUCAAAUCAAGAUGUCAGAAGGGCUGUGUUCCUUUGGAAGGCCCUUGGGGAGAAUCUGUUCCAUGCCUUCUCCAGUUCCUGGAAGUCACCUGCUUGCUUUGGCUGUGGGGCACUUCCAGCAACUGCAUCACUCUAACCUCUGCAACCAUAGCACGUCUCCCUUUUCUGACUCUCACCCUCUUCUUUCUUUCCCUUAUAAGGACAAUUGUAGUACAGGAUAAUCUCCCCAUUUCAAAAUCCUUUACUUAAUCACAUCUGCAAAGUCCGUCUUGGCCUAUAAGGUGACAUACUUGCAGAUUCCAGAAAUUAGAAUUUGGACGUCUUUGGGUGGCUGUUAUUAUGCCUGCCACACAGACCAAUGCAUACACAAUGUGACCAAUCCAUCAUGAUUUGUCUGAGACUAUAUUGGCUUUAAAGCUGAAAGUUCUGCAUCCCAGGAAUCGCCUCAGUCCCAGGCAAUUCAGGACAAUUCGUCGUCACCCUAUGUGCACCUCCUAUGUGCUCCUUCAACUUAGAGAGUUGGUGUUUUCUCUCCUCUUCAAAGGACUAACUCCUUUUCACCUAAAGAGUACACAGAGGCUGGGUGUAGUGGUUUAGGCCUGUACUCUGUGCAUUUGGGACACUGAGGCAGGAGGUUCACUUGAGCCCAGGAGUUUGAGACCAUUCACGGCAACAUAGUGAGAUCCUUUCUCUACAAAUUUUUUAAAAAAUUAGUUGGGCAUGGUGGCACAUGCCUGUAGUCCCAGAUACUUGGCAGGCUAAGGAGGAAGGAUCCCCUGAGCCCGGGAUUCAAGGCUGCAGUGAGCUAUGAUAGUGCCACUGUACUGCAGCUGAGGCAAUAAAACGAGGCCCUGUCUCUAAAAAUAAAAAAAAAAAAAAAAAAGAAAAAAAGGCUGCACAGAAUAGACUGAUGGACUGAAGGCUCUGCCCUUAUCAAACAUUUACUAAGUAAUAAUUAUAAGUUUGCCUCCUACACUGGGUGACUUCUC
rnacentral:lncRNA from 1 species